UUAUUCCCACUUUUCUGCACAAACCAUUUCAAUAAGGAAUAUCGGAGCCCAAAGAAUGAACUGUUAUCCUGGCGUAACACGUGCCGGCUACAAGUACAUCUGUAGACUCGCGGGGCAGGACAGGAGUGGCGCUGGGAGGAGCGUAGUUUCCUGAGGGGUGUUGUCGCUGAAGUUCGUCUAUUGCCGGCAGUCGAAUGCUAAUUUGACGGCGGCCGAAGGUCUGCAGUCUCUAAACAGGAGGACAAGCUGUCACCCAGGCGUACAAGUGCGGUGUCCCCAGGAGGCCAUAGAUGAAGACUAUCAUGGAGUAUUGAACUGAAAUUGAAUGAUGGCUAUGACAGUUGAAAAUUUUUGUUCACCUGAGUAAGUGUACCCUGGGGUCCUCUGCUUUUUCCAGACUGCACAUUGAUCACCAUCCUGACAUGUUAGCUGGCAUAAAAAUGGUAAAGAGAGAGACCAUCUGAGCUGCCAUUUCAGGAAGGUUUGGCCUACCCGCAAGGACAACUGAGGUGAAAGGACAUGCAAGAGUUUGGACUGACACUUCCUGCUUCUCUAAUCCCAUUAAUUUUACUUGCAAUGGUACCCCUGAAUGGUAGUGCAAAGGACUUAUGUUUCACUGAAGCCAUCUUAGAGUUGUUUAAAGUGAUUAAUGAAAUUAAGGCCAUUAAAAAUGAGAGAUACAUUGACAGUAAACUAUAUACUCCAGAUGUGACCUACUACCAGAACUGUAAUAAAUCCAUUAUGUACUGCUUUAUUAUUGAGCUUGCUGUCCUGUCGUUUGAGACCCAUGAUGUAUUGAAGUCUGAAAUACUUUCGAGAACAACUAAUAAGGGAAUUCGCAGCCUGAAACUGGAGAAGCACUUGCGAAAUAUUCACAGAAUAAUGGAAGACGACUCAAAAGACUGCUACCAUUGUGAAGUCUAUAAGGAAGAACCUGCAGUCGACUUCCUUGACAUGCUGUUAAAGUUCUUGCAGCAAACAAAUGACAGGAACUGCAAAGAUUGAAGUUAUGGGAGAUAACACCAUUUUCUGUUGAUUUCCACCAACAAAGAGAGUGGGUUCUGGUAAGGUGGUCACCUCAUGUCUGGAACUGUCUGCAGGUGGGCAACACUUUGUUCAGCACAGCUGGAUUAUCCAUUAUCAAGGACUCCAUAGGCUCAUCCAGCUACAAAUCUCUGAGUUUACCCCUUAACAACGAUGGCUAGAUGGUACUGAAGGGACUGGAAAAUCAAAAAACAUCAUCUUCACAGUGCUGCCAGCUUGUCCAGGUAAGAAUAAGUCUUGUGGAGCAGAUUGAUAAUCAUAUCCACUAAUCCAGAUUUUGUCCUAUAGGCAAACUGCAGUGGGUUCAGUUGGGCUAACAGAAGAAGAAUUCUCUCCGAGGUCUUCAUGAUGUGAUACGUUUACUUGAAUUUGGGGUGUCCAGUGAAGGUGCUUCUGUGAAUGUACUUUUCCUGUGGCUUUGACAUCACAAUCACUAAAGCAGAGUGAGGUGUAUAUACUGUACACUAAUCACUGUUGACUAUGAGAUAAAAUUUUCUGUAUGUUAUUCUGAUCACAGGAUUUAAGUCUCCAAAAUAGCAAAACAUACCUCAUACAGAAAACUCUCAUAUGCAUAUUCAAUAUUCAUUGGCCUUGCAGGAUGGAAGGGCCAUGUCCUCAGGUUUGCACUAAUAUUAUAAUGGUUUCAUCUAGGAAAUUGUAUUUUUGGACAUUAAAACUGUCUCCAUAUUGUGUCUCACUGUAUAGGCUGACCCUGCUUUAAAGAUUUUCUAUAUUCAGAAUUCAGUAUGGCUUGUUCACGAGUGUUUAAUGCCAAACCAAUAUUCUGAGUAGGUCAUAUUGGUGUGAUAGUUUAGUAUAAGUGCUGGCACACAAAACAGGUGAUGUGCAAAAAUGAAAUUCUUCUGCCCUGUAAUUGAUAAGGUGCUUUUCUUAUGUUGUGAUGUUUAUUAAGACUGCAUGCAGUCACGUGUAACAUUAAAUUGACCAGAAACUAAGGAACUUCAACUUCGGUAAGAGUGGGAUAAUAGUGGAGUUGGUACUGAAGAGAUUCAUGGACCAUGGAUUGUAGACAGGCAUUAUUUAAGACACCAUAAAAAGAAGAAGAAUCAGGAAAACAUUCAGUGAUGUUCAUAUGAAGGAUCCUAGUCUUCAUGCCAUUUUCUGCCAAGAAACGAUGGAAGACCUAAACUCCACUACAGAGUUCCUGUCCAUUUUUUCUCAUGAAGCAUUUUUAUCAUAAUUUUAUUAACAAAUCAUAUUAAACAUCUCUAUUCAUUUUUCUAAUCUUCAAGCUAUGCCAGAAGCUAAACCUCAUUCUGACUUAAAGUAGCAAGCCUGGAUGGAGUGCCAGUCUAUGUCUUGGACCCUGACCAAUUUUAAGUCUCCAGUACUCUUGACAGCCUGUUUGUUGGAAACAAACCAGAUUUGCUGGAGUAAAGCCAAGUGAGCACACGAAGAUCAUACAGUAAAUGAUCCCAAGUCCAAGCGAUGUGGCAGUUACAAAACUAUCUGCUGUACCACCAUGCCAUCUAAGAGAAGAAUACAAUCUUGUACAGUGUGGAUCAGUUGCUAAUAUUCAAAUGAUUUUCAGACUUCUUGGUGUGUACAGGCUGCUACAAAUUCUCAAUCUUGUGCAAUAAUGGGAAACAGUAUUAAAUAUUCCACAGUCAUUCUGUACAUCUGCACUUUGUGUAUGUACUUUUUGCUGCAAUAGUAGCGAAGGGUUUCUUUGGUAGAUUUAUAACUAAGCUAACAGUGAGAAAUCAUUGUAAAGGUGUUAGGGAUAAAGGAGAUUGAGUUGGGGAGCUGGGGAUGUUGGGAGAGAUUGCCUUUAAUAGACCAAUCAAAAUUACUGGUCAUUGUUUUUGGAAAUGAAAAUGAAUUAACUGUUUGUGUUUUUAUCAAAUUAUGGGGUAGUUUAUCAAAUCCCCCAACUUUAGAAAUCACAAAGCCAUCCAUUAUUUAGCUAGGCAACCAACAUAUUAACAUUGUAUAGACGGACAAGCUGUCAUUUUUCAAACAGAUGUGACCUGUCACGUUUUGGAUAUUGUGUAUUAUAUAACAGAACACAUACAACUUCAUUUUGACUGUAAAAGAAUAUAUAUUUUACCUACAAUUAUGAAUAUUUAACUUUAUUGAAUUCUGAGUUUUUAUUGUCAUUUUUUAU